rnacentral:rRNA from 1 species
GAUGAACGCUAGCUACAGGCUUAACACAUGCAAGUCGAGGGGCAGCACAGAGAUAGCUUGCUAUCUUGGGUGGCGACCGGCGCACGGGUGAGUAACGCGUAUCGAACCUGCCCAUUACUCUGGGAUAGCCUUGCGAAAGUAAGAUUAAUACCGGAUGUUGUUUAGAGUUCGCAUGAAUUUUAAACCAAAGAUUUAUUGGUAAUGGAUGGGGAUGCGUGACAUUAGGUAGUUGGUGAGGUAACGGCUCACCAAGCCUACGAUGUCUAGGGGUUCUGAGAGGAAGGUCCCCCACACUGGAACUGAGACACGGUCCAGACUCCUACGGGAGGCAGCAGUGAGGAAUAUUGGUCAAUGGACGAGAGUCUGAACCAGCCAAGUAGCGUGCAGGAUGACGGCCCUCUGGGUUGUAAACUGCUUUUAGUUGGGAAUAAAAAGAGGGACGUGUCCCUAAUUGUAUGUACCAUCAGAAAAAGGACCGGCUAAUUCCGUGCCAGCAGCCGCAGUAACAC